AGUAGCGGAAGGGUGAGGAACGCGUGAGUAAUCUGCCCCCCAGUUGGGAAUAACAGUUGGAAACGACUGCUAAUACCGAAUGUGGCUUAAGCUUCGCCUGGAGCUUUGGCUAGAGAUUUAUCGCUGGGGGAUGAGCUCGCGUCCCAUUAGGUAGUUGGUGAGGUAACGGCUCACCAAGCCGACGAUGGGUAGCUGGUCUGAGAGGAUGGUCAGCCACACUGGGACUGAGACACUGCCCAGACUCCUACGAGAGGCUGCAGUCGAGAAUCUUGGGCAAUGCGCGAAAGCGUGACCCAGCAAUGCCGCGUGUAUGAUGAAGGCCCUCGGGUCGUAAAGUACUGUCUCCCGUGACGAAAUUUGACGGUAGCGGGGAAGGAAGCCACGGCUAACUACGUGCCAGCAGCCGCGGUAAUACGUAGGUGGCGAGCGUUGUUCGGAUUUAUUGGGCGUAAAGGGUCUGUAGGAGGUUUGUUAAAUACGGGGUGAAAUCCCGAAGCUCAACUUCGGAAUUGCCUUGUAGACUGACGGACUAGAGUACCGGAGAGGUAAGCGGAAUACCAGGUGUAGCGGUGGAAUGCGUAGAUAUCUGGUAGAACACCAAAAGCGAAGGCAGCUUGCUGGACGGAAACUGACUCUGAAAGACGAAAGCAUGGGGAGCAAACAGGAUUAGAUACCCUGGUAGUCCAUGCC
rnacentral:rRNA from 1 species